AACGCGAAGAACCUUACCAGGGCUUGACAUCCCUCUGACAGCUCUAGAGAUAGGGCUUCUCUUCGGAGCAGAGGAGACAGGUGGUGCAUGGUUGUCGUCAGCUCGUGUCGUGAGAUGUUGGGUUAAGUCCCGCAACGAGCGCAACCCUUGUUGUUAGUUGCCAUCAUUAAGUUGGGCACUCUAACGAGACUGCCGGUGAUAAAUCGGAGGAAGGUGGGGACGACGUCAAGUCAUCAUGGCCCUUACGGCCAGGGCUACACACGUGCUACAAUGGUUGGUACAACGGGCUGCCAAGUCGCGAGACGGAGCUAAUCCCAUAAAACCAAUCGUAGUCCGGAUUGGAGUCUGCAACUCGACUCCAUGAAGUCGGAAUCGCUAGUAAUCGCGGAUCAGAAUGCCGCGGUGAAUACGUUCCCGGGUCUUGUACACACCG
rnacentral:rRNA from 1 species